rnacentral:rRNA from 1 species
AUUGAACGCUAGCGGGAUGCCUUACACAUGCAAGUCGAACGGAUUGGCGAACGGGUGAGUAUUGUAUCGGAACGUGCCCAGUAGCAGUGGAUAACUACACUAAAGCGUAGCUAAUACCGCAUACUAUUUGAGCGGCCGAUAUCGGAUUUGGUAGUGUGUGGGGUAACGGCUCACCCAGGCGACGAGCCGUAGCUGGUUUGAGAGGAGGACCAGCCACACGGGGAAGAAGACACGGCCCAGAAUCCGACGGGAGGCAGCAGUGGGAAAUUUUGGACAAUGGGGGAAAGCCUGAUGCAGCCAUCCCGCGUGUGCGAUGAAGGCCUUCGGGUUGUAAAGCACUUUUGGCAGGGAAGCGGUACCUGCAGAAUAAGCACCGGCUAACUACGUGCCAGCAGCCGCGGUAAUAC